rnacentral:rRNA from 1 species
UACGAAGGGGGCUAGCGUUGUUCGGAAUUACUGGGCGUAAAGCGUGCGCAGGCGGCCAUCCAAGUCAGUGGUGAAAGCCCGGAGCUCAACUCCGGAAUUGCCAUUGAAACUGUUCGGCUCGAGUACGAGAGAGGUGAGUGGAAUUCCCAGUGUAGAGGUGAAAUUCGUAGAUAUUGGGAAGAACACCGGUGGCGAAGGCGG